AGACGUGCGCACUGGGCAACGGACAAUGGUAGCGGCCAGAAGAAACCGUUAAGCGAGGAAAGGCAAAACAUAAAGGGCUGGCAGACCUCUACGGAGAGAAAUCUGACCGCUACAUGAGCAGACAGCGAGGUUGGAAUGCCCUUGGGCAAGCCACGGGAGCUCGCAACUGCUCCGUGGGCACAACGGGAGUGGAAAGUCCUAAAAUAAACCGGGGAGAACUAUCUCCUACGGGGCGGGCGUAGAGAUUUCAACAAACGCCACGAAAAUCCUGAUUUCCCCCAUUCUCAUCGUCCACAUCAAGCUACAGAAACACGGAAACACGACGCUACAUCGCAAGAAAGAACUCGCGUUUGGAACUGGAGGGCAGAGGCUGCUUCGGUUACCGCAGCCAGCGACCACCGCGCUCGGAGGAGGACGCAGGGGCAGCGGGGUUCGGUCCCGCGUGCGACCGAGCAGCUCCGAGCCCGGCGGCUCCCGAGCUCCCACAGAUCAGUGCUGGGUUGCCAAGUUCCCGGCUCCGAGCACAGCUUUAGCUGCCUCCUGUGCCUGAAAGCACCGCUAAUUCGUUAGCGCCCCUUUGCGGCAGCCUGAGCUUGCAGCGGCUGAUAACCCCGCGCCAUGCUGUCAGGGUUUAUUCCAGGCACAGACUGGGUAUUCUCGCAUGUUCUGCCGAGGACUCUUUCCCAGGAUAUCCUACGAAAUAAAAGCUUCCACGUGGUUCGUUUCUGGCA